CCCUGGUUGGCUCAGUCAGUAGAGUAUAUGACUCUUGAUCUUAGGGUCAUGAGUUCAAGCCUCACAUUGGGCA
rnacentral:tRNA from 1 species